rnacentral:rRNA from 1 species
GACGAACGCUGGCGGCGUGCUUAACACAUGCAAGUCGAACGGAAAGGCCCUGCUUUUGUGGGGUGCUCGAGUGGCGAACGGGUGAGUAACACGUGAGUAACCUGCCCUUGACUUUGGGAUAACUUCAGGAAACUGGGGCUAAUACCGGAUAGGAGCUCCUGCUGCAUGGUGGGGGUUGGAAAGUUUCGGCGGUUGGGGAUGGACUCGCGGCUUAUCAGCUUGUUGGUGGGGUAGUGGCUUACCAAGGCUUUGACGGGUAGCCGGCCUGAGAGGGUGACCUGCCACAUUGGGACUGAGAUACGGCCCAGACUCCUACGGGAGGCAGCAGUGGGGAAUAUUGCACAAUGGGCGGAAGCCUGAUGCAGCCACGCCGCGUGCGGGAUGACGGCCUUCGGGUUGUAAACCGCUUUCGCCUGUGACGAAGCGUGAGUGACGGUAAUGGGUAAAGAAGCACCGGCUAACUACGUG